UUGUAUCCCUGUAGGAUGGUGUGUUGGACUUCUAAUCCAAAGGUCGUGGGUUCGAAUCCCACCUGAAAAG